UACGUAGGGGGCAAGCGUUGUCCGGAUUUAUUGGGCGUAAAGAGCGUGUAGGCGGCUAUACAGGUCCGCUGUGAAAACUCGAGGCUCAACCUCGAGACGUCGGUGGAAACCGUAUGGCUAGAGUCCGGAAGAGGAGAGUGGAAUUCCUGGUGUAGCAGUGAAAUGCGUAGAUAUCAGGAGGAAUACCGAUGGCGAAGGCAGGUCUCUGGGCUGACACUGACGCUCAUGCACGAAAGCGUGGGGAGCAAACAGG
rnacentral:rRNA from 1 species